rfam:Triticum aestivum genome assembly, contig: Triticum_aestivum_CS42_TGACv1_scaffold_423741_5BS
AAAAUACUACCUCCGUCCGGAAAUACUAUUCAUCAAAAUGGAUAAAAGGAGAUGCAUAUAGACGUAUUUUAGUUCUAGAUACAUCUCUUUUUAUCCAUUUUGAUGACAAGUAUUUUCGGACGGAGGGAGUGGCAA